ACAUGCAAGUCGAGCGGCAGCACGGGUACUUGUACCUGGUGGCGAGCGGCGGACGGGUGAGUAAUGCCUAGGAAUCUGCCUGGUAGUGGGGGAUAACGUUCGGAAACGAACGCUAAUACCGCAUACGUCCUACGGGAGAAAGCAGGGGACCUUCGGGCCUUGCGCUAUCAGAUGAGCCUAGGUCGGAUUAGCUAGUUGGUGAGGUAAUGGCUCACCAAGGCGACGAUCCGUAACUGGUCUGAGAGGAUGAUCAGUCACACUGGAACUGAGACACGGUCCAGACUCCUACGGGAGGCAGCAGUGGGGAAUAUUGGACAAUGGGCGAAAGCCUGAUCCAGCCAUGCCGCGUGUGUGAAGAAGGUCUUCGGAUUGUAAAGCACUUUAAGUUGGGAGGAAGGGCAGUUACCUAAUACGUAAUUGUUUUGACGUUACCGACAGAAUAAGCACCGGCUAACUCUGUGCCAGCAGCCGCGGUAAUACAGAGGGUGCAAGCGUUAAUCG
rnacentral:rRNA from 1 species